AGCGGGAUAGGACAGAAAAAUUGACAUUAGUGUUAAUUUUGCCCGACUAGGAGUGUCCGUCGGGCUCAUAACCCGAAGGUCGAAGGUUCAAAUCCUUCUCCCGCUA
rnacentral:tRNA from 1 species